CAUAUAGAGAUACGAGUACUGAGGAACCAGAAGUAAAAAGUCAGCCACAAGUGGCUGUUGUCUAUACAAGAGCAGGUGCCCAAGUUGUUUCUAGCCCCCAGCUAUUAGACCAUCGUGGUAGCUUGGCACAAUCUUCAAGGGACCAUUCCCCUAGUAGAAGUAUAAGAGAACCCAUGAGAGUACAGUUUCAUACCAUUGAACAUGAGCAGGAGUCUGAUCUAGUGAGUAAUGUAGAUAUUACGGUAGAGUACCCUGUAGACCAGUCAGUCGGUCAGCCAGAGGAGAUGUGUCCCCCCAUUAGACGCUCCACUCGUAGGACGGCAGGCCAACACCCAAAUCCUUUUAAUCUUCCCCAGUCUGUGGCACAGAAUGGGUCUAGUGGUUUUGCAGAAGUUAGUUCCCUCACUACCACCUUUAGGCCUUGGCAGUAGGGAUUACCUUUUGGGUGGUUCACCGGGACGGUGAUUAUUAAAGCAGGGGUGUAUGUAGCCAGGUCAGUAGAGGGCGCUGCUGAGGGUAUCAGUAUAGGGUGUAAGUUCCCUUUAAAUAUGUCGCUUCCUGUUGGUUGGAAUGGCUGCAGUGUUUGAAUUGUUUGGCAUGGUCGGUCGCUGGAAGAACAAGCUCUGUUGGUUUGUUUAGACGUGUGUUCUAAAUACCUUAAUGCUGAGAAGGUUUGACUGGAUGAGUGGUGGACACUGGGUUACCAUUGCAGUACACUGCACAGAAGUUUCCUUAAAGGCCCUCAUAUUGGCUGCUGAACGAGAUGAGCAGUGGAUAUUAACGACGGUUGUACUUCCUGUGGCGUCUGAAAUAAGAAUUCGAUCCAUCCAGUGCAAAUGACCACUGUUUUUCC